UGGCUGGUGAAAGCCUCCAGGAUGAUGACUGCCAGGCUGCUGUAUUGUGGUUACUGCCAUAGGAAUAACCCCAUGAAACUCAGUGGGACUUACUCCUGAGAAGAUAUGGAACCAUGUCCAAUCUUACACAUAUCUUCUCUGGAGUUAGCUUUACAAGGGACUUAAUUCUUUGGAAGGACUACAUGGGACAUACCAGCCAAACUGGACAUGGACUCCCAAGCAUGACAAACACCUGCAAUCUAAUGAGCACCAAUGCUAAUGAAACUAUUAAAGUGAAUAAAGUGGUUAAAAAGGAAGAGUAUUUAGCUUCUUCGGACAUCAUACUGGUGAAGCACAAUUUGAACAAGUGGUCAUAUUAAGGUGUCUUAUUGGCCUAGAAUGUGAGGUUUUUGAGGACUGCAAGUAAGCGUGUCCAUUAAUGAAGGUAUGCAAACAAAAAUAAAAUAUUUUGUCCUAUUUCUUGAUUUGAGUAUGGGAGGUAUAAAUGCAAUGAGAUGCAUUUUGCCUCAAAAUGGCUAAAUACAUUCAUUUUCAUUAUCAUUUAAGGAUAAAUGAAACUAUUCAUGCUGCCCAAAACUGGUUAUUUUGACACCAAAUGUUAACAAUAUGAUCUGGAUGUGACAUGGUGGGUGCACAAUGGGAGUUGGAGGUCUAUAUGCAACUCAUGAGAUAUCCAUUCUAUGUAACAUAAUUUCCUUAAUGAGAAGUUUUCCUAAAUGUGAAGCCAAUAUGAUUAAAAUCCUGAAUUUAGAAAUUAAAUUCAUGAAGUCAUAAGUCCUUGGCAGUGACCAAGAGUCAUGAUAUCAGCAAUCUAAAACAAGCAAUAAAUCGAUCCCAGCUUCUGAUCACAUCAUUGACCACAACAUUACUGAGUCAUCAUAGAUGGUUCAUUCAGCAAAAUUUGUGUCCAGGGGAAAAUGAACACACCACAGAGCCUCCCAGUUGUGUCUGCUAUGAACAAAAUAGCUAUCUGCUUCAUCUGAUAGCUGCAUUGU